rnacentral:rRNA from 1 species
UAGGUAGGGGGCAAGCGUUAUCCGGAUUUACUGGGUGUAAAGGGAGCGUAGACGGCUUUGCAAGCCAGAUGUGAAAGCCCGGGGCUCAACCCCGGGACUGCAUUUGGAACUGUGUGGCUAGAGUGUCGGAGAGGCAGGCGGAAUUCCUAGUGUAGCGGUGAAAUGCGUAGAUAUUAGGAGGAACACCAGUGGCGAAGGCGGCCUGCUGGACGAUGACUGACGUUGAGGCUCGAAAGCGUGGGGAGCAAACAGG